rfam:Coccidioides posadasii str. Silveira unplaced genomic scaffold supercont2.4, whole genome shotgun sequence.
GCCCAUAUGGCUUAGUUGGUAAAGCGUAUCACUAGUAAUGAUAAGAUCCUCAGUUCGACUCUGAGUGUGGGCA